rnacentral:lncRNA from 10 species
CCACUUGGGCUCGCGUCCUCGGCCGCGCCGCGCGGCACCCGGGCCCAGCAGCCGGGAGGCGGCAGCUCUCCUCUACGCCCGUCCCCUCAGGGCGGCUGUGGAUGUUGCCAGUAUUGUCGAUGCUUCAGAGCGACGUUUGCCCUGCGACACAGGCGGGCCGGCUCUCCUCUGUCUUUAUUUUCCUGGAGGCCGACAGGAGCGGGGCCCGAGUUCGGUGGUGGUCGUGAGCGUGGGGGGCACUCAGGCCCGGACGGGCUCUCAGGUCGCCGACGGCGGCGGCUGGAGGCCGCGCUGGCUGUCCCAGGUCGUCGUUAGCUUUAGGGAGCCGAUCUCCGGGCGGCCCCACAGAGGACGCCCGCGAUUCGAUGGCGAUGAUGCCCGUUUUAAAUGGUGUCCCUGCAGCCGGGUGGAUGGAUGGAUCGUACACCUUGCCUUUUGAGAGCCGGGACCUUACGCCCGACUGCGUGUUAUUUCUGCGAAUAAGAACGCAACCUUUGGAGGUGAAGACGACUGUCGGCUGGAUUGAAUUGGAAUCGUGUUUGUGAUGAUGCGUUUAUUUCUGGAAAUACGCGGUCUCCGCUGCUUUUGCUUUUUGUCGGCAGAGGUUUGGGUUCUUCUCUAACGGUCAGGAUAAAGGCCUGUAGGCGACGCUGCGCGAGCGAGAAGCUCGCCCGCGGCUGCCCGGGCGCCCCCCUCUAGGUGUGGGUGGAGCCGAGCGCGCGGGGAGAACCGCCGGCCCCGACUCAGCCACCGGUGACUGCGGGCGACCCGCGGGCCUGCGGCCAGCUGAUUUCAAACAUCGUUUUCCUCUUUAGGUUCGGAAAACUGAGGCGCUGGACAAGGCUGGAAUACAAUAUGUGAUUAUACGUACAGUACUAUGGUUGUUGUAGUUUUUAAAUUGUAAAACAAGAAGUAACCAUUGUUCCACCGUUCUCUAUUAAGUUUGUGUAAAUUAAAAAGGGGCUAUUUUCGGUAAAAAGUGCAGUAGGUGUGGUGGUGUCGACCUGUCAUCCCAGCUACUUGAGAGGCUGAAGGGGGAGGAUCGCUUGAGCCCAGGAGGUAGAGGCUGCAGUGAGUCAUGAUGGCACCACUGCACUCCAGCCUGGGUGACAGAGUGAGAGCCUGUCUCAACAACCAGAAAAAAAGUAUUUAGUUUUACAGUAUUACAAAGUAGUGUCACAUUAGUUUAAUGAGGUUUAUUUAUACAAAGGUGUAAAAUUAUGGGCCAAGUACUAGCCUUCAAGUAAUUUCGAAGUCAGCGAGAAUACUGGUAUAUAACGGAUCAAACUUUGUUCAAGAACCAAAGGCUAUUGUUCAACGAAUGGUGCUGAGACAACUGCAAAAGACUAGGACCCUUACCUCACAUGCAAAAGACUGGGACCCUUACCUCACACCAUUUUGCAAAAAUUAGCUCAAAAUGGAUCAAUGACCUAAAUGUAAGAGAAAACCUAUAAAAUUCUCAGAAAAAAACAGAAGGAUAAAUUUGUAUAACCUUGGAUUUGACAGGAUUCUUAGCUAUGACAACAAAAACACAAGCCUCCAGAAGCAAGCAAACAAAAACACCAUAAACUGGACUUCAUCAAAAUUGAAAACUUUAGUGGUUCAAAAGACACCAUCAAGAAAGUGAAAAAAUCCACAGAAUAGGAAAGAUAUUUGCAAAUCAUGUAUCUGAUAAGGGAUCUAUGUCUAUAAUAUGUAACGAACUCUUAAUAAAAAAUAACCCCACUUAAAAUGGGCAAUGAAUCUAAAUAGACAUUUCUCCAAAGAAGAAAUGCAAAUGGCCAAUAAGUACAUGAAAAGAUGCUUGACAUCACCAGAGAAAAGCAAAUAAAGAAACUGCAAGGUUUUCAUUCUUCUUCACUUACAAGGCUUCAUUCUCACUAUGAUAGCCAGAAUAAAAAAGUCAGAUAACAACAAUUAUUGGCAAAGAUAUAGAGGAAAACUGCAAACCUUAUACAUUCUGAUAGGAGUGUAAAAUGGUGCAGCCACUUUGGAAAACAGUCUGGCAGUUCCUCAAGUGAUUAAACAUCUAGUUACUAUAUGACCCAGCAAUUCUACUACUAGGUAUAUACCCAAGAGAAAUGAAACCAUAUGUCCACACAGAAACUUGUACACAUUUGUUUACAGAAGCAUUAUUCAGAAUCACCAAAAGGUGGAAACAACCCAAAUGUCCAUCAACUGACACAUGCAAAAGUAAAAUAUGGUAUCCAUAUAAUGGUAUAUUAUGGUAUAUAAAAGAAUGAAGUACUGAUACAUGCUGCAACAUGAAUGGAUCCUGAAAUCAUUAUGUUAAGUGAAGGAAGCUAGUCACAAAAGACCAUAUGUUAUAUGAUUGCAUUCAAAUGAAUGGAAUAUGGAAAUCUAUGCAGACAGAAAGUAGAUUACUGGCUGUUUAAAGCUGAGGGUGGGAGCAUGGGUGGGCAGGGGAAUAGCUAAAGGGUACAGAGUUUCUUUCCGAGGUAAUGAAAAUGCUCUAAAAUUGACUGUAGUGAUGAUUGCACAUAUCUGUGAAUAUACUAAAAACCACUGAAUUGUACACUUUAAAUGGGUGAAUUGUAUGGUAUGUGAAUUCUAUUUCAAUGAAACUGU